GAUGAACGCUAGCUACAGGCUUAACACAUGCAAGUCGAGGGGCAGCAUGGUCUUAGCUUGCUAAGGCCGAUGGCGACCGGCGCACGGGUGAGUAACACGUAUCCAACCUGCCGUCUACUCUUGGACAGCCUUCUGAAAGGAAGAUUAAUACAAGAUGGCAUCAUGAGUUCACAUGUUCACAUGAUUAAAGGUAUUCCGGUAGACGAUGGGGAUGCGUUCCAUUAGAUAGUAGGCGGGGUAACGGCCCACCUAGUCUUCGAUGGAUAGGGGUUCUGAGAGGAAGGUCCCCCACAUUGGAACUGAGACACGGUCCAAACUCCUACGGGAGGCAGCAGUGAGGAAUAUUGGGUCAAAUGGACGAGAGUCUGAACCAGCCAAGUAGCGUGCAGGAUGACGGCCCUAUGGGUUGUAAACUGCUUUUAUAAGGGAAUAAAGUGGGAGUCGUGACUCUUUUUGCAUGUACCUUAUGAAUAAGGACCGGCUAAUUCCGUGCCAG
rnacentral:rRNA from 1 species